GAUGAACGCUGGCGGCGUGCCUAAUACAUGCAAGUCGAGCGAACAGAUGAGGAGCUUGCUCCUCUGACGUUAGCGGCGGACGGGUGAGUAACACGUGGAUAACCUACCUAUAAGACUGGGAUAACUUCGGGAAACCGGAGCUAAUACCGGAUAAUAUAUUGAACCGCAUGGUUCAAUAGUGAAAGACGGUUUUGCUGUCACUUAUAGAUGGAUCCGCGCCGCAUUAGCUAGUUGGUAAGGUAACGGCUUACCAAGGCAACGAUGCGUAGCCGACCUGAGAGGGUGAUCGGCCACACUGGAACUGAGACACGGUCCAGACUCCUACGGGAGGCAGCAGUAGGGAAUCUUCCGCAAUGGGCGAAAGCUUGACGGAGCAACGCCGCGUGAGUGAUGAAGGUCUUCGGAUCGUAAAACUCUGUUAUUAGGGAAGAACGAAUGUGUAAGUAACUAUGCACGUCUUGACGGUACCUAAUCAGAAAGCCACGGCUAACUACGUG
rnacentral:rRNA from 1 species